rnacentral:rRNA from 1 species
GAAGCAGCAACGCCGCGUGUGUGAUGAAGGCCUUCGGGUCGUAAAGCACUUUUCUGGGAGAUGAGAAAGGACAGUAUCCCAGGAAUAAGUCUCGGCUAACUACGUGCCAGCAGCCGCGGUAAAACGUAGGAGGCGAGCGUUAUCCGGAUUCACUGGGCGUAAAGCGCGUGCAGGUGGCGCGGUAAGUUGGGUGUGAAAUCUCCCGGCUCAACUGGGAGAGGUCAUUCAAUACUACCGUGCUUGAGAGCAGAAGAGGAAGAUGGAAUUCCCGGUGUAGUGGUGAAAUGCGUAGAUAUCGGGAGGAACACCAGUGGCGAAGGCGAUCUUCUGGUCUGUUUCUGACACUCAGACGCGACAGCUAGGGUAGUAAACGGGAUUAGAGACCCCGGUAAUCCUAGCCGUAAACGAUGUGAACUUGGCGUUGGUGGGUUAAACUCCAUCAGUGCCGUAGCAAACGCGAUAAGUUCACCGCCUGGGGACUACGGCCGCAAGGUUA